GAUGAACGCUGGCGGCGUGCCUAAUACAUGCAAGUCGAGCGAACAGACGAGGAGCUUGCUCCUCUGACGUUAGCGGCGGACGGGUGAGUAACACGUGGAUAACCUACCUAUAAGACUGGGAUAACUUCGGGAAACCGGAGCUAAUACCGGAUAAUAUAUUGAACCGCAUGGUUCAAUAGUGAAAGACGGUUUUGCUGUCACUUAUAGAUGGAUCCGCGCCGCAUUAGCUAGUUGGUAAGGUAACGGCUUACCAAGGCAACGAUGCGUAGCCGACCUGAGAGGGUGAUCGGCCACACUGGAACUGAGACACGGUCCAGACUCCUACGGGAGGCAGCAGUAGGGAAUCUUCCGCAAUUGGCGAAAGCCUGACGGAGCAACGCCGAGUGAGUGAUGAAGGUCUUCGGAUCUUAAAACUCUGUUAUUAGGGAAGAACAAAUGUGUAAGUAACUAUGCACGUCUUGACGGUACCUAAUCAGAAAGCCACGGCUAACUACGUG
rnacentral:rRNA from 1 species